GCGCUCGCUUCGGCAGCACAUAUACUGAAAUGGGAGCAGUACAGAGACGACUAGCAUGGCCCCCGAGCAAGGAUGGCAUGCGGCUUCACUAAGCGUUCCAUAUUUAA